GUUUAUUUUCUAGCUCAGUCGGUUCAGCAUGAGACUCUUAAUCUCAGGGUUGUGGGUUCGAGCCUCACGCUGGGCCA
rnacentral:tRNA from 1 species